AAAUAAGAAACAAAUUAUUGUAUUUAGUUUCGACCUAAAAUUGUGAUUAGCUUUUAAUCCUUAUUUU
rnacentral:tRNA from 1 species